UACGUAGGGUGCGAGCGUUGUCCGGAAUUACUGGGCGUAAAGAGCUCGUAGGUGGCCUGUCGCGUCGGCUGUGAAAACUCGGGGCUCAACUCCGAGCUUGCAGUCGAUACGGGCAGACUAGAGUGCGGUAGGGGAGACUGGAAUUCCUGGUGUAGCGGUGAAAUGCGCAGAUAUCAGGAGGAACACCGGUGGCGAAGGCGGGUCUCUGGGCCGUAACUGACGCUGAGGAGCGAAAGCGUGGGGAGCGAACAGG
rnacentral:rRNA from 1 species